GAAGUGUGUAAAUCAGAGCCUGGAACUUACUGUGUCUCUGUUUGAUUGAGCCUGGGCAUGAGAUAAAACACGAGGUCAUCUGCAAUGGCACUGGUGCUGUGGCUGUAUCAGCAUGGCUCUGAUGUCCCUUCGGGGCAGGCAACAGUUCAGGGAGGACUUACAAGCAAGCUCUGGUAAGUGGUAAGUGGGGCUGCACCCAGGAAG
rnacentral:lncRNA from 10 species